AGCGAACGCUGGCGGCAGGCCUAACACAUGCAAGUCGAACGAACUCUUCGGAGUUAGUGGCGGACGGGUGAGUAACACGUGGGAACGUGCCUUUUGGUUCGGAAUAACUCAGGGAAACUUGUGCUAAUACCGAAUGUGCCCUUCGGGGGAAAGAUUUAUCGCCAUUAGAGCGGCCCGCGUCUGAUUAGCUCGUUGGUGAGGUAACGGCUCACCAAGGCGACGAUCAGUAGCUGGUCUGAGAGGAUGACCAGCCACACUGGGACUGAGACACGGCCCAGACUCCUACGGGAGGCAGCAGUGGGGAAUCUUGCGCAAUGGGCGAAAGCCUGACGCAGCCAUGCCGCGUGAAUGAUGAAGGUCUUAGGAUUGUAAAAUUCUUUCACCGGGGACGAUAAUGACGGUACCCGGAGAAGAAGCCCCGGCUAACUUCGUG
rnacentral:rRNA from 1 species